UACGUAGGGGGCAAGCGUUGUCCGGAUUUAUUGGGCGUAAAGAGCGUGUAGGCGGUUAGGUAGGUCCGUUGUGAAAACUCGAGGCUCAACCUCGAGACGCCGAUGGAAACCAUCUGACUAGAGUCCGGAAGAGGAGAGUGGAAUUCCUGGUGUAGCGGUGAAAUGCGCAGAUAUCAGGAAGAACACCCGUGGCUAAGGCGGCUCUCUAGUACGGUACUGACGCUGAGGUGCGAAAGCGUGGGGAGCAAACAGG
rnacentral:rRNA from 1 species